rnacentral:rRNA from 1 species
AUGAACGCUAGCUACAGGCUUAACACAUGCAAGUCGAGGGGCAGCAUUUUAGUUUGCUUGCAAACUAAAGAUGGCGACCGGCGCACGGGUGAGUAACACGUAUCCAACCUGCCGAUAACUCGGGGAUAGCCUUUCGAAAGAAAGAUUAAUAUCCGAUAGUAUAUUAAAACCGCAUGGUUUUACUAUUAAAGAAUUUCGGUUAUCGAUGGGGAUGCGUUCCAUUAGUUUGUUGGCGGGGUAACGGCCCACCAAGACUACGAUGGAUAGGGGUUCUGAGAGGAAGGUCCCCCACAUUGGAACUGAGACACGGUCCAAACUCCUACGGGAGGCAGCAGUGAGGAAUAUUGGUCAAUGGACGAGAGUCUGAACCAGCCAAGUAGCGUGAAGGAUGACUGCCCUAUGGGUUGUAAACUUCUUUUAUAUGGGAAUAAAGUAUUCCACGUGUGGGAUUUUGUAUGUACCAUAUGAAUAAGGAUCGGCUAACUCCGUGCCAGCAGCCGCGGUAAUACGGAGGAUCCGAGCGUUAUCCGGAUUUAUUGGGUUUAAAGGGAGCGUAGGUGGAUUGUUAAGUCAGUUGUGAAAGUUUGCGGCUCAACCGUAAAAUUGCAGUUGAAACUGGCAGUCUUGAGUACAGUAGAGGUGGGCGGAAUUCGUGGUGUAGCGGUGAAAUGCUUAGAUAUCACGAAGAACUCCGAUUGCGAAGGCAGCUCACUAGACUGCAACUGACACUGAUGCUCGAAAGUGUGGGUAUCAAACAGGAUUAGAUACCCUGGUAGUCCACACAGUAAACGAUGAAUACUCGCUGUUUGCGAUAUACAGUAAGCGGCCAAGCGAAAGCAUUAAGUAUUCCACCUGGGGAGUACGCCGGCAACGGUGAAACUCAAAGGAAUUGACGGGGGCCCGCACAAGCGGAGGAACAUGUGGUUUAAUUCGAUGAUACGCGAGGAACCUUACCCGGGCUUAAAUUGCAUUUGAAUAAUCUGGAAGCAGGUUAGCCGCAAGGCAAAUGUGAAGGUGCUGCAUGGUUGUCGUCAGCUCGUGCCGUGAGGUGUCGGCUUAAGUGCCAUAACGAGCGCAACCCUUAUCUUUAGUUACUAACAGGUCAUGCUGAGGACUCUAGAGAGACUGCCGUCGUAAGAUGUGAGGAAGGUGGGGAUGACGUCAAAUCAGCACGGCCCUUACGUCCGGGGCUACACACGUGUUACAAUGGUAGGUACAGAGGGUAGCUACCCAGCGAUGGGAUGCGAAUCUCGAAAGCCUAUCUCAGUUCGGAUUGGAGGCUGAAACCCGCCUCCAUGAAGUUGGAUUCGCUAGUAAUCGCGCAUCAGCCAUGGCGCGGUGAAUACGUUCCCGGGCCUUGUACACACCGCCCGUCAAGCCAUGAAAGCCGGGGGUACCUGAAGUACGUAACCGCAAGGAGCGUCCUAGGGUAAAACUGGUAAUUGGGGCU